rnacentral:rRNA from 1 species
UACGUAGGUGGCAAGCGUUGUCCGGAUUUACUGGGUGUAAAGGGCGUGUAGGCGGGAUAGCAAGUCAGAUGUGAAAUUCCGGGGCUUAACCCCGGCGCUGCAUCUGAAACUGUUAUUCUUGAGUGUCGGAGAGGAAAGUGGAAUUCCCAGUGUAGCGGUGAAAUGCGUAGAGAUUGGGAGGAACACCAGUGGCGAAGGCGGCUUUCUGGACGAUAACUGACGCUGAGGCGCGAAAGCGUGGGGAGCAAACAGG